CAAGUACUCCCUCCAUCCGGAAUUAGUUGUCAUCAAAAUGGAUGUGUCUAGAACUAAAAUACAUCUAGAUACAUCCAUUUUAAUGACAAGUAUUUUCGGACGAAGGGAGUACAAG
rnacentral:pre_miRNA from 1 species